UAGUAGCGGCGAGUGAAGCGGCAAAAGCUCAUAAUUUGAAAUCUGGCGCCUUCGGUGUCCGAGUAAUGUAAAUUUGAAGAUUGUAACCUUGGGGUUGGCUCUUGUCUCAUGUUUCUUGGAAACAGGACGUCACAGAGGGUGAAUGAAUCCCGUGCGAUGAGAUGCCCAAUUCUAUGUAAGGUGCUUUCGAAGAGUCGAGUUGUUUGGGAAUGCAGCUCUAAGUGGGUGGUAAAUUCCAUCUAAAGCUAAAUAUUGGCGAGAGACCGAUAGCGAACAAGUACAGUGAUGGAAAGAUGAAAAGAACUUUGAAAAGAGAGUGAAAAAGUACGUGAAAUUGUUGAAAGGGAAGGGUUUGAGAUCAGACUCGAUAUUUUGUGAGCCUUGCCUUCGUGGCGGGGUGACCCGCAGCUUAUCGGGCCAGCAUCGGUUUGGGCGGUAGGAUAAUGGCGUAGGAAUGUGACUUUACUUCGGUGAAGUGUUAUAGCCUGCGUUGAUGCUGCCUGCCUAGACCGAGGACUGCGAUUUUAUCAAGGAUGCUGGCAUAAUGAUCCCAAACCGCCCAA
rnacentral:rRNA from 1 species